UACGGAGGGUGCAAGCGUUGUCCGGAUUUAUUGGGUUUAAAGGGUGCGUAGGCGGCCCAUUAAGUCAGUGGUGAAAUACUGCAGCUUAACUGUAGCAUUGCCAUAGAUACUGAUGGGCUUGAGUGCAGAUGAGGUAGGCGGAAUUGAUGGUGUAGCGGUGAAAUGCAUAGAUACCAUCAAGAACACCGAUUGCGAAGGCAGCUUAC
rnacentral:rRNA from 1 species